rnacentral:ncRNA from 1 species
AUUGAGAAAGGUUUAGCAAACCACUCAUAGCGAGUUUUGAACAUUUCAUAGGUAACUAUAGAUGUUAAGCGUAAACAGUUAGAUAGCAGGUGGUAAGCUUAGUGCUGAAGGGAUUGAGCCUCAAAAUAUAGCGGAAUGGGAAGGCCGAUGCUGUCGACGUAGCAGAAGGCGAAUUUACCGUGUUCGAUAAGCAAGAAUAUGGUGGCACCCCGGGGUCAGAGACC